rnacentral:rRNA from 1 species
GGGAUAACUCCGGGAAACCGGGGCUAAUACCGGAUAACAUUUUGCACCGCAUGGUGCGAAAUUCAAAGGCGGCUUCGGCUGUCACUUAUGGAUGGACCCGCGUCGCAUUAGCUAGUUGGUGAGGUAACGGCUCACCAAGGCAACGAUGCGUAGCCGACCUGAGAGGGUGAUCGGCCACACUGGGACUGAGACACGGCCCAGACUCCUACGGGAGGCAGCAGUAGGGAAUCUUCCGCAAUGGACGAAAGUCUGACGGAGCAACGCCGCGUGAGUGAUGAAGGCUUUCGGGUCGUAAAACUCUGUUGUUAGGGAAGAACAAGUGCUAGUUGAAUAAGCUGGCACCUUGACGGUACCUAACCAGAAAGCCACGGCUAACUACGUGCCAGCAGCCGCGGUAAUACGUAGGUGGCAAGCGUUAUCCGGAAUUAUUGGGCGUAAAGCGCGCGCAGGUGGUUUCUUAAGUCUGAUGUGAAAGCCCACGGCUCAACCGUGGAGGGUCAUUGGAAACUGGGAGACUUGAGUGCAGAAGAGGAAAGUGGAAUUCCAUGUGUAGCGGUGAAAUGCGUAGAAGAUAUGGAGGAACACCAGUGGCGAAGGCGACUUUCUGGUCUGUAACUGACACUGAGGCGCGAAAGCGUGGGGGAGCAAACAGGAUUAGAUACCCUGGUAGUCCACGCCGUAAACGAUGAGUGCUAAAUGUUAAAAGGGUUUCCCCCCCUUUAGUGCUGAA